UUUUUUGUUCAAUAUUAUUAUUGAGUUUUAAUGUUUAGAGUUUUUUUAUUGAUAGAUAGCAUUCCUAAAAAGGAAUUUUCGUCGUUUUAAAUGGCAUCUAAACAUGAAGUACCUUUCCACGCUUUGUCCAACAUUUGUUGUCGAGUUUUUUCAUGUGGAUUUUUUUGCAGAGUAAAUCAUUGAUAAUUCAAGACUUAAAAAUUCUAUCUUCAUUUUAAGGAUUUUCAAACAACAAUGCAAGACUUGGAGGUAGAUUUGAGAAAAUCGCAAACUGCUUAUAAAGACCAAAAGGACAAGCAUGAAAAACACAAGGUUGAUGAUUGUCGUCGUCGCCAUAACUACGACCCUUUCAUAUCAACAUUUCUCACAAUGUUAGCUGAGCGUGGACUUCUGUCUAAACUUCUAGAGCAAGAAAACUCCCUCGUGAAACGAGUAACAAUUUCUUCAUCGCAUAACGCAAACAAAUCGCUUGAUAAGAAAAAUGCAAAGAGGAAGCGGAAGAGAUGAGUGUAGAGAUAGAUGUGUAAAUUGUGUUGAUAUUAUACUCAAAUUAUUUUAAUUUUUCAAAUAUGUCUUAAUAAGUGUUGGUCAAUGUUUUAACUGUGAUCUUUA